AGAUUGAACGCUGGCGGCAUGCCUAACACAUGCAAGUCGAACGGGAGUAGCAAUACUCUAGUGGCGGACGGGUGAGGAAUACGUAGGAAUUUGCCCUUAAGUGGGGGAUAACCCGGGGAAACCCGGAUUAAUACCGCAUGACCUCGAAAGAGCAAAGUGGGGGAUCGCAAGACCUCACGCUUUUGGAGAAGCCUACGUCGGAUUAGCUAGUUGGUGAGGUAAUGGCUCACCAAGGCGACGAUCCGUAACUGGUCCGAGAGGAUGAUCAGUCACACCGGAACUGAGACACGGUCCGACUCCUACGGGAGCAGCAGUGGGGAAUAGUUGGACAAUGGGCGCAAGCCUGACGUCCAGGCAAUGGCCGCGUGUCGACGAAGAACGGCCGUUCGGUUGUAAAGCUACGUUUAAGUUAGGGAAAGUAAAAAACCGUACGACUACGUAACAC
rnacentral:rRNA from 1 species